CAGCCGCCGCGGGAAUACGAAGGGUGCAAGCGUUACUCGGAAUUACUGGGCGUAAAGCGUGCGUAGGCGGUGAGUUAAGUCUGCUGUGGAAUCCCCGGGCUCAACCUGGGAACUGCAUUUGUGACUGGCAAGCUAGAGUGUGGCAGAGGGGGGUGGAAUUCCGCGUGUAGCAGUGAAAUGCGUAGAUAUGCGGAGGAACACCGAUGGCGAAGGCAGCCCCCUGGGCCAACACUGACGCUCAUGCACGAAAGCGUGGGGAGCAAACAGGAUUAGAUACCCCGGUAGUCCCUGUCUCUUAUAA
rnacentral:rRNA from 1 species